GGUUGUUCCAGACUCUGAUAUUACUGAAAAUGCUACGAAUGAGCCAUGCAACACCGAAGAAGAAGAGGAACUCGUUGUUCCAGACACACCGGACCGGGAAGUUCCCAGAUCUGAGCCUGAAAUUGAUGAGUUCCCUUUGCCACCUCCUGAGGAAAUUUACGAGAAUUUGAGAAUAUAUUUCCCAGCUAUAAAACUCGAGCAUUGUCAGCCUUCGAGGGAUUUCGCUAACUCUUUAAAUUUUUGUUGAAUUAUUUUCAAGUUUUUUGAUAGUUAAACUGAAUUUGAGUGUGGUCUUUGUGUGCUGUUAGAAUUUGAGUGUGGUAUUUGUGAAGAUGAUGAUGUAUGCUGUUUUUUUUUUUGUUCAAGUAUGUUUUUUUUUUGUUCAAGUAUGUUAGAAUUUGAGUGUGGUAUUUGUGAAGUUGAUGAUGUAUGCUGUUUUUUUUUUGUUCAAGUAUGUUUUUUUUUUUUUGAUUCAAGUAUGUUAGAAUUUGAGUGUGGUAUUUGUGAAGAUGAUGAUGUAUGCUGUUUUUUUUUUUUUUGUUCAAGUAUGUUUUUUUUUUUGGUUCAAGUAUGUUAGAAUUUUUUUUGUUGUUCAAGUAUGUUAGAUGAAAAUUGGAAUGGUCCCUAAAUUUCCUGAUUUUCUUCGCUUAAACUUAGUCUCUGGCGGGUUUAAACUUCGAAAACUACCAAAAAUAAAGAAGAAUCUGAAAAUAAGAGAAACUCAAUUUGACAAGAAGAAAAUUGAUACUCGUAGUCUAAUAGAGAUGAUGAUUAUGUAAAAGACACAAGUUGUUCAAGAAAAUUGACAAGAUGAUGAUUAGAAUUUGAGUGUAUGCUAGCAACUUUAGUGAUGUGUGCUGUUAGAAUUUGAGUGUGGUAUUUGUGUGUUUAUUUUUGUUAGUUCAAGUAUGGUUUUUUUUUGUGGCACAUAUGUUUUGUUCCAGUAUGUUAGAAUGUUAGAGUAAUAACUAGAUCUACAAAGAAACAUAAAAAUAUUAAGGACAGUAAACAUAAAAAUACUAAGGACAGUAAGAGGAGUCCUGUGAUGAUGAAUGGAUGAAUAUGGCUAGUACAUUAGUUAACUGUUUGUGAGGCUUACAAAGACAAUAUAAAUUUGAUCAUGUUAGCUAUGUGAUGAGGCUCACAUUAGCCGCCAUAUGUGCUUAGUGCAUGACAAUAUUUAAUGAAUGCUUUGUAAUUGCCACCUCAGUUAAUCACCUCUAUGAUAAAUUGAGAGGUUAGAUUAUUCUAAUAUGCAUGAUAUAUGUACCCAACAUGAUGAGACUCAAUUCAAUAAAUAGAUUUGCAUGAUGGACUUGUAAAUUUAGGUAAGUUACAGCCCUAAAAACAGCCUAACAUCCACAAUGUUUACAAAAUGUAUUUUUUUUUCUAUGUACCCAAAAUGUGUUUUUCUUCAAAAAAAUAAAAUCCUGCCUUGUUCUGCCUUGUUGUUGUUGGAUGUCUUAGUUGCCAUUCAAAUGAUCAUCAACAAACUGAAUUGCCUUUUGAACAUCUUCAAUACUUGGACCAACUUCUUCUGGGAGUAAUCCUAAGUCUUCCAACUGUUUUUUCUUUGCAUGAGGCUCAUCAUAUUCAUUACUUCCACAUACCAUGAUAACUUCAUUUAAGUAAAAUUGAAGUGACAUCCACACAUUACUUAGAGUUUUAGGGUGUAGUUCUUCCCAUGAUUCAUUCACAGCAGUCACUAGUUGGUCAAUUGUCCUUGGUGAUUUCUUAUAUUGUAAUGUUUGAAGUGAUCUAAAAUAACCGAGAUCCAAACAAUUCAUAUCUGGGCUGUUAGGAGGCUGUUGUAUCAACCUAAAAUCGAAUUCAUCUAGUAGUCUAUGUUGUUGAAAAAUUGGAUCAUCAUUUGUUAUGUGUGCUGGUGCAUUGUCUUGCUGAAUAUAAAUGACCUUACUUAGGUCAUCUGGCCAUUUCUCCCUGAUAGCAGGCAUAAUCUUAUGAACCAACAUGUCCCUAAUAACAUCCUUUGUAAUUGCUUCGAUGGGUUUGGUUUCUAAAGUGCCCCUAGGCCUGUUGUUUGAUCUUCUUUGUGCUGGAACUUGUUUGGUGAAAGCCCAUAUGCCAAUUUUGCCAUUAAAUGCACAAGAACCAUCUUGGUUCCACCUUGGUCUUGCAACAGCAGCUAUAAACAUGGCUUUAGGUAUGAAAUUCUUGUUUUUUAUCUUCCUCCAUGGUGUUUUUUCCCUUGGAUGGAGAUAUGCUCUUACCCUUUUCUGAGUCAUGUAGAACCAUUUUUCAUCUAUAGGACAACAUUUCUCAUGUCUAUGUAAGUUGGAUUUGUGUAAAGUGUGUUUCUUUGUAUUAAACUUAGUACCCACAUACAUCUUCUUAGCUGUUUUUUCAUGUUCAAAUCAGGUUUUAAUGGGUUUGUAUGUAGGCCUGGCAAAAGCUGACCCAACCCGACAACCCGACCUGAAAAUAGCGGGUUUGGGUUGAGGUUUUCAACCCGAUUAGUUAAAUGGGUCGACCUGAAUCCGACCUGAAAGUUAAAUGGGUCAGGUUCAAGUCGAAUUUUCUGACCUGACAUUGACCCGCCCUGACCUGAUAAGAAUGAUUAAACUAAAAAAAAAAUAUUAGUGUUCGGCCGUUUGCCACUUUGCCCAGCCCAAAGAUAUCCAAGCCCAAUAACUAUUAUUCUAACGCUACCUCUCACUCUCUCUCAUUCUCAUAAAGUCAUAACCCUAAAUUUCUAAUGCCCAUCUCUGUCUCAACUCUCUCUCUCUCCUAAGUCCUAACCCUAAAUUUAUAGCGCCUCUCUUUCUCACUCUCUCUCAUAGACGAAAUCUCUCAGUCUUUCACUCUCUCUCACACAGUCUUCUUCGGUGCUCUUCUUCAACAUUUGAUGUUCUUCGUCUCGCAAAGUCGCAAUAAAUCUCUCAAUUUCGUCUCGCAAAGUGCAAUUUCGUUGCUUUUCUUCAACAUUUGCUCUUCUUCUUCUCGCAAAGUCGCGCAAUUUGCUGUUCUUCUUCAACAUCAGAGGAGGAGAUUGACUACAAAUGCUGUGAAACACUGAAACCUCAACAAUGUUUUUUUGAGUUGUGGACUUGUGGUUGUAUAAGAUACAUUAUUGUUGUUUUAUUUUGUAAAACUUUGCUAAAUUGUUUUGUAAUAUUGCCAAAUAUGAAUUUGGUUACCUAGAACUUGGUAGAAGUAUGUAAUAUUGCCAAGUAUAAACUUGGUUAGCUAAUACUUUGACGAAAUUUCAAGGCCCAAA